UUUCCCAGCUCACACCCUAAAUCCUAUUUUUCCAGCUCCUCUGAGCCCCGCUGGGAGAUAUUAAGGUGUUAUUAUCGUUCCCCGUUGCUGCGGGGGAACGGGGGGAAUGCUAACGAGGGAGACUCGUCCUGUCCUCUCCAUCAGUUCACCUCUCCCACCGCUGAGAAAAAGGAGAGGAUAGCUGCGAUUCUCACAGGCAUUAGGAAUUGGACCUUAAGUGGGGGGGAAAAGAGUAUUUUGAGGAGCUUGAUAAAUUUAAGAGCUGCUGGAAUGUGGAUUCGUCAGGAGCAGGCAGCAUCCAGGAAUAUUCCUGUGGGCAAAAGGAAAAGCAUCCUGUUCCCGUUGAAGCCAGUGGCAAAUCCCUGGAUGUGCAGGACCCGGAUACAAACAGGGGUGACCUCUCUUUGUUCGGGGUGCAGAUCCAGGACCACUCUUCCCAGAGGCCUCCCCUCCCUCCCUGACAUCCCCCACCUUCCCGUUCAGCCCCGGAUAAACGAUGGACAAUCAGGCUGGAGACCUUCCCUGCGACACUGUUUGAUUAAAUAGAAUUCAAACAUUUCCUCGGUGUUAACAGCUCUGAAAUAAAAUCCCCAGAACGCAGGAAUAUGUGAUAUUC